GUGGAUAGAUGAUGGGGUUCGAUGAAUUUUUGGGGUAUUUAUAUUCUAGAGUUGCCGUGGCUUAAAUUGGAAGGCGAGACGGCGAGGAAACACCCAGGCUGAUCGGCCUAGGGGAUCCAGGCCGAUCGGCCUGGGCCUUCCUUUCGUCUUCUCGCGCCCAACUUUGUCGUCAAGUCUUCACUGAUGUUAUGGAAACUUAUUUUUACUUGCAUGCACGACGUGCACGUAGAUAGUCUCAUGAUAAGGAUGGAUCUUGAUAGCUUUCCAAAGUCCUGAAACGAAC
rnacentral:lncRNA from 1 species